rnacentral:rRNA from 1 species
AGAGUUUGAUCCUGGCUCAGAAUCAACGCUGGCGGCGUGCCUAACACAUGCAAGUCGAACGAGAAAGGGUAGCAAUACCUGAGUAAAGUGGCGCACGGGUGAGUAACACGUGACUAACCUACCCUGGAGUGGGGGAUAACUGAGGGAAACCUUAGCUAAUACCGCAUAACACCUACGGGUCAAAGGAGCAAUUCGCUUCAGGAGGGGGUCGCGGCAGAUUAGUUAGUUGGCGGGGUAAUGGCCCACCAAGACAGUGAUCUGUAUCCGGCCUGAGAGGGCGCACGGACACACUGGAACUGAAACACGGUCCAGACUCCUACGGGAGGCAGCAGUGGGGAAUUUUGCGCAAUGGGGGAAACCCUGACGCAGCAACGCCGCGUGGAGGAUGAAGUCCUUCGGGACGUAAACUCCUUUCGAUCGGGACGAUAAUGACGGUACCGAGAGAAGAAGCCCCGGCUAACUUCGUGCCAGCAGCCGCGGUAAUACGAGGGGGGCGAGCGUUGUUCGGAAUUAUUGGGCGUAAAGGGUGCGUAGGCGGUUUGGUAAGUCUGAUGUGAAAUCUAUGGGCUCAACUCAUAGUCUGCAUCCGAAACUGCCGGGCUUGAGUAUGGGAGAGGUGAGUGGAAUUUCCGGUGUAGCGGUGAAAUGCGUAGAUAUCGGAAGGAACACCUGUGGCGAAAGCGGCUCACUGGACCAUAACUGACGCUGAUGCACGAAAGCUAGGGGAGCAAACAGGAUUAGAUACCCUAGUAGUCC